rnacentral:rRNA from 1 species
GAUGAACGCUAGCUACAGGCUUAACACAUGCAAGUCGAGGGGCAGCAUGAGGUCAGCUUGCUGACUUUGAUGGCGACCGGAGCACGGGUGAGUAACGCGUAUCCAACCUUCCCGCGACUGGGGGAUAACCUUGCGAAAGUAAGACUAAUACCCCAUGGUUUCCGAGGCGGACAUCCAAUUUGGAAUAAAGAUUCAUCGGUUGUGGAUGGGGAUGCGUCUGAUUAGCUUGUUGGCGGGGUAACGGCCCACCAAGGCUACGAUCAGUAUGGGUUCGUAGAGGAAGGGCCCCCACCUUGGAACUGAGACACGAUCCAAACUCCUACGGUAGGCAGCAGUGAAGAAUAUUGGUCAAUGGACGAGAGUCUGAACCAGCCAAGUAGCGUGCAAGAUGACGGCCCUAUGGGUUGUAAACUGCUUUUAUACGGGAAUAAAGUCAACCACGUGUGGUUGUUUGUAUGUACCGUAUGAAUAAGGACCGGCUAAUUCCGUGCCAGCAGCCGCGGUAAAAC